CCAAUAGCGUAUAUUAAAGUUGUUGCAGUUAAAAAGCUCGUAGUUGAAUUUCGGAAUUUGUCGGUUGGUCGGGCUUCACUGUCCGCACUGACCUGAUGGAUUCCUACCUUCUGAAUAACCAGCAUGCUAUUAAGUUAGUGCGUUGGGGAAGCAGAGCUAUUACCUUGAAAAAAUUAGAGUGCCUAAAGCAGGCUUGUGCUUGAAUAGAUUAGCAUGGAAUAAUAAAAUAGGACGGCAUGGUUCUAUUUUGUUGGUUUCUAGGAUCACCGUAAUGAUUAAUAGGGAUAGUUGGGGGCAUUAGUAUUCAAUUGUCAGAGGUGAAAUUCUUGGAUUUAUUGAAGACUAACUUCUGCGAAAGCAUUUGCCAAGGAUGUUUUCAUUAAUCAAGAACGAAAGUUAGGGGAUCGAAGACGAUCAGAUACCGUCGUAGUCUUAACCAUAAACUAUGCCGACUAGGGAUCGGACGAUGUUAAUUUUUUAAUGACUCGUUCGGCGCCUUACG
rnacentral:rRNA from 1 species